UGUCAUUGUCUAAUGUCACUCUUCGUUGGUGUACGGUCCUCGGUUUGGCAGGACAAAACCAAUAAAGACCAAACUACGGCUAAAAAGAUUGAAUCAAAAGUCAAAUCCUGGCUUUUAUGAAUGCAGAGCCUCGUCCAGUUGAUUGACAGGAAGAGGUGGAACGCGCCUGGAAAGAGAGCAGGACGGGUUACAACACAACCUGGUCGGCGAGACUGCAACAACUUGACAAAUAGUACAACAGACACUUAUUAUUAUGACCAAUUUGGGGCAUGUGUUCACUUUAGGUUUUAAUAUUUAUGCUUCGUAAUUGAAUGAUUUGUACAAUAAAAAGAAUAAUAGAAGGUAAGACUAUCCCAUGGCAUUACUGUUAUAUGCAAUACUUGGGUCCAUUGUUCAGCAAAACCCUGGACUUUUAUGCUCUGCCUUUAGGAGGUUUUGUUCUUUUUAUGACCUAUUAACCUUCUCAGCCUUUUUCCCUGCACAGUAGUAACGGCUGCGGACCGUUCUCUCCAGGUGCUUGUUGCUCAAGAUGAUUUUUAAGUAUCAAUUUCUGGUGUCACCUUUUAUGGUUUUUAUUUAUUUGUCCGCUCCUUCGUGUGGAACAGAGCCUGAGCAUUACUCAGGUAGAUGGAUUAUAACUCAACUGCUACGACUCAUCAAUUUUAGAAAUUUGACUUCCUGAAUCUCAUACAACUGUUAGUGUCAUAUUACAGGACAGCAUUAUCAAGAUCAAUGACAUUUUAAAUGCUUCCCAUUUAAGGAUGAUCUGUGACAAUAAAAAGGUAAGUUGGUGAUGAAACUGUCUUAGCUGACGGACUCACCUGCUGGAUGGAGCUCACAGUUCCCUCAGAAGAGGUCUGGUUUAAUGAAUGAACUUGUAAUCACAACAGUCACCCUGCUAAAUGUCAAAUGUUGACCAUUAUUGAUCACCCAGAAUUAUUUAGCACCCAACGGCUUCAUCACAGAAUUUAAUCAAUGCAUACGUUACACUUGUUCUCGAAAAUAAUCCUUGGGGAAAUAUCUCAGAUAAAGUAUUUCAUAAUGUAAUUGUGUUGGAAAUGUAUUGAUAUUUGAACAUUCUGU